AAUCGGGUCCCUGGCGGCGAGUACCGCCGAACCGUGUCAGAUCCGGAAGGAAGCAGCACUAAGGCGGCCCACUCGGGUGACUAGGAUCACCUGGUUUGC
rnacentral:SRP_RNA from 1 species